GAGCGCGUCCACUUUCUGAUCCCUAUUGGGGUGAUGAUUGUGGAUCGAGCGGCUGACGGGUGAGUAACACGUGGGCAACCUGCCUGUAAGCCUGGGAUAACUUCGGGAAACCGGAGCUAAUACCGGAUAAUCUUUGAUGUCACAUGAUGUCAAAGUGAAAGAUGGUUCUGCCAUCACUUACAGAUGGGCCCGCGGCGCAUAAGCUAGUUGGUAGGGUAAUGGCCUACCAAGGCGACGAUGCGUAGCCGACCUGAUAGGGUGAUCGGCCACACUGGGACUGAGACACGGCCCAUACUCCUACGGGAGGCAGCAGUAUGGAAUCUUCGGCAAUGGACGAAAGUCUGACCGAGCAACGCCGUGUGAGCGAUGAAUGUCUUCGGAUCGUAAAGCUCUGUUGUCAUAGAAUAUCUCGUGAUAUAGGAAAUGCUGUCACCUUGACGGUAUCUGACCAGAAAGCCCCGGCUAACUACGUGCCAUCAGCCGCGGUAAU
rnacentral:rRNA from 1 species